GAGGGUAUAGCUCAGUGGUAGAGUGCAUGCAUAGUGUGCACAAAGUCCUGGGUUCAAUCCUCAGUACCUCCA
rnacentral:tRNA from 1 species